rnacentral:rRNA from 1 species
UACGAAGGGGGCUAGCGUUGCUCGGAAUUACUGGGCGUAAAGCGCGUGUAGGCGGCCGCGCGAGUCGGGUGUGAAAGCCCGGGGCUCAACCCCGGACGUGCAUCCGGUACUACGCGGCUGGAGGCCUGAAGAGGAGGGCGGAAUUCCCGGUGUAGAGGUGAAAUUCGUAGAUAUCGGGAGGAACACCAGUGGCGAAGGCGGCUCUCUGGACAGGUGCUGACGCUGAGACGCGAAAGCGUGGGUAGCAAACAGG